ensembl:lncRNA CLECL1P C-type lectin like 1, pseudogene
UUUACUUAUCAGAAGUUUCUUUGCAGAAAUAUGAUUGUCCCUUCAGUGGGACAUCAUUUGUGGUCUUCUCUCUCUUUUUGAUCUGUGCAAUGGCUGGAGAUGUAGUCUACGCUGACAUCAAAACUGUUCGGACUUCCCCGUUAGAACUCGCGUUUCCACUUCAGAGAUCUGUUUCUUUCAACUUUUCUACUGUCCAUAAAUCAUGUCCUGCCAAAGACUGGAAGGUGCAUAAGGGAAAAUGUUACUGGAUUGCUGAAACUAAGAAAUCUUGGAACAAAAGUCAAAAUGACUGUGCCAUAAACAAUUCAUAUCUCAUGGUGAUUCAAGACAUUACUGCUAUGAAAUCCAAUCUUUUUUGACAUAUGCAUAUAGAAGUUCCUAGACUUCAGUGCUGAGGAGACAGAGGCUACAGGCAUCCAUAUGUCUGUCUCUGGGGUCUUCUUAGGAAGAGGCCUCUGAUGAAGAGAACAAAGCUCUUGUUUGAUAUCCCAGCUUGAGCAAGAGGAAUGGGACAAGUUCGUGGCAGCCACCAGCCGCCAGGAGAUGGCUGAAGUAGA